rnacentral:rRNA from 1 species
CCAAAUAUAUGUUAAGUGGAAAAGGAUGUGGGGUUGCUUAGACAACCAGGAUGUUGGCUUAGAAGCAGCCACCAUUGAAAGAGUGCGUAAUAGCUCACUGGUCGAGUGACCCCGCGCCGAAAAUGUACCGGGGCUAAACAUAUUACCGAAACUGUGGAUGAACCUCUUUAGAGGUUCGUGGUAGGAGAGCGUUCUAAGGGCGGUGAAGUCAGACCGGAAGGACUGGUGGAGCGCUUAGAAGUGAGAAUGCCGGUAUGAGUAGCGAAAGAAGGGUGAGAAUCCCUUCCACCGAAUAUCUAAGGUUUCCUGAGGAAGGCUCGUCCGCUCAGGGUUAGUCGGGACCUAAGCCGAGGCCGAUAGGCGUAGGCGAUGGACAACAGGUAGAGAUUCCUGUACCAGUGCUAAUUGUUUAACCGAUGGGGUGACACAGAAGGAUAGGGAAUCGCACGAAUGGAAAUGUGCGUCCAAGCAGUGAGUGUGAGAAGUAGGCAAAUCCGCUUCUCGCGAAGCAUGAGCUGUGAUGGGGAAGGAAAUUAAGUACGGAAGUUCCUGAUUUCACGCUGUCAAGAAAAGCCUCUAGGAAGAGUAGUACUGCCCGUACCGCAAACCGACACAGGUAGAUGAGGAGAGAAUCCUAAGGUGAGCGAGAGAACUCUCGUUAAGGAACUCGGCAAAAUGACCCCGUAACUUCGGGAGAAGGGGUGCUCUAUUAGGGUGCAAGCCCGAGAGAGCCGCAGUGAAUAGGCCCAGGCGACUGUUUAGCAAAAACACAGGUCUCUGCAAAACCGUAAGGUGACGUAUAGGGGCUGACGCCUGCCCGGUGCUGGAAGGUUAAGAGGAGUGCUUAGCUUCGGCGAAGGUACGAAUUGAAGCCCCAGUAAACGGCGGCCGUAACUAUAACGGUCCUAAGGUAGCGAAAUUCCUUGUCGGGUAAGUUCCGACCCGCACGAAAGGCGCAACGAUCUGGGCACUGUCUCAACGAGAGACUCGGUGAAAUUAUAGUACCUGUGAAGAUGCAGGUUACCCGCGACAGGACGGAAAGACCCCGUGGAGCUUUACUGCAACCUGAUAUGGAAUGUUUGUACCGCUUGUACAGGAUAGGUAGGAGCCGAAGAGACGUGUGCGCUAGCAUACGAGGAGGCAAUGGUGGGAUACUACCCUGGCUGUAUGACCAUUCUAACCCGCCACGCUUAGCGCGUGGGGAGACAGUGUCAGGUGGGCAGUUUGACUGGGGCGGUCGCCUCCUAAAGAGUAACGGAGGCGCCCAAAGGUUCCCUCAGAAUGGAUGGAAAUCAUUCGCAGAGUGUAAAGGCACAAGGGAGCUUGACUGCGAGACUGACAAGUCGAGCAGGGACGAAAGUCGGGCUUAGUGAUCCGGUGGUUCCGCAUGGAAGGGCCAUCGCUCAACGGAUAAAAGCUACCCCGGGGAUAACAGGCUUAUCUCCCCCAAGAGUCCACAUCGACGGGGAGGUUUGGCACCUCGAUGUCGGCUCGUCGCAUCCUGGGGCUGUAGUCGGUCCCAAGGGUUGGGCUGUUCGCCCAUUAAAGCGGCACGCGAGCUGGGUUCAGAACGUCGUGAGACAGUUCGGUCCCUAUCCGUCGCGGGCGCAGGAAAUUUGAGAGGAGCUGUCCUUAGUACGAGAGGACCGGGAUGGACACACCGCUGGUGUACCAGUUGUUCCGCCAGGAGCAUCGCUGGGUAGCUAUGUGUGGCAGGGAUAAACGCUGAAAGCAUCUAAGCGUGAAGCCCCCCUCAAGAUGAGAUUUCCCAUUUCUUCGGAAAGUAAGAUCCCUGAAAGAUGAUCAGGUAGAUAGGUUUGGAGUGGAAGUGUAGCGAUACAUGGAGCGGACAAAUACUAAUCGAUCGAGGACUUAACCAAAA